CCCCUUUAAAUACUGGUUUGUUUAUUUUCUCUGAUUGUUUCCUGGUUUGCAGUGCCACCUAGACAUUUUUAUAAAUCUGCAGUUCAGCUGAACAUGUAGGUUCACACCCCCAACCCCCAAUGCCUCACUCACUGAUAGUUACUUCACACAUGAAAACAGAAGGAACCCAAGAUUUACCAUUAUGGUGUCAUGAUGAAUCUACCCAUAUAAUUCAGGUGUUGCAAGGACAUGCUUGUUGUAUUCAUGCUUAUCCUCAUGCAAUGGAUGACAUGACCUUGGUCUGGAUUCAGAUUUAGUUAUAUUUACCGCUUUCUCAAUAGUAACCUGUGCAAGCGCAGAGGAGAUGAAAUAUAUAUAUAGAGAGAGAGGGAUUAAGUUUCAUCAGGUACCAUAAUUCAGCAUUAGGAAGUGCCUCUUUGAAGCAGUUGGUCCAAUUUUGUGGAGUUUGGUUGUUGUUGUUUUUACACAUACUGAGCAUAAUCAGUCUUUCUCAUUGACUUCAGUCUCAGAGACAGAUUUGUAUGCUCCAUGAAAGCUAACAGGAAAAUCACUGUAGCAAAGGAAAUCUCUGGCGUAGGCUGAUUCUGUAGAAAUAAGUCCCAUUGACACCAGUGGAGCUUUCUGCCAUGGAAUGAACUUACAAUAUGGAAGCUAAGAGCAACAACUUUAGUGAAUACACACUGCUUUUAAAACAAACUGGUGCUGUAACUUCAAGGCAAUACUCUGAGAGCACUAAUGGGAAAAGAAACACACUGUGAUCAUCAUCAAAAACUUGCCUCUGAAACUGCUAUGUUAGUGGAGAAAGCAUGCACACAGCAAAACCAUUUCUCCCUCUGCUGUUAUGUAUGAGCUUCGGUGGAAGUUCAAGGAGGAUGCUGCUUGAGCUGUGAUGAAUUGUGAGGCUUCUGCCAAUGUGAGUAAUUGAUGCUUAAGAUUCAACAAGUCAAAUGCUUGGGAGCAAUCUGUUUCAGCCUGCUUUUCAUCCAUUUAUUAUCUGAAAGUUGUUCCUCAAGGUCCAGCAAGUAAAAGCGAUGCUUCCCCUCCCCACUUCAAAGAAUGGGCCUUCAGUGACAAAGCAACCAUCAGUGGUGCAGUGUACAAAUGUUGAACUGCAAGACAGACUCCAGGAUCAUCUUUGCUUUUCUGCGAUGUUUUUGUACAUCAGAAAAUGUUUGAUGGAGAGAGAAUGCCUGAUAUUUAUCAGAAGGUAUCAGCAAAUAUUUCAAAGAUGUGUCACACAGGUUUGUAACAUAGCUCCUUUCUGAACUUGCUAGAAAGAAUGCUCAGCUCUGCCCACAGAGGUGAAAAAAGGCACACUCUGGUUCCCUCUGUAAGUGACAGGACUGAGGACAGUGUAUUGUUUUCGUGUAGUUUGAUGGCUUUGUUGUUGUUUUCUUGUAGUUUUUGAAGGUAAUUCAUCCAAUAUGCUGGUUAGGAAUCUUCAAAAGGAAUAAUAUGAAAUAUAUGCUUAGCUCAUGAGCUGAAUGAGUAGCUUACAAUAUUAAUGAAAAAGACCUGUGUAAUAGGGUCAGCUGUCCAAAAACAAGGUGUCACUAGACCAUUUCAUUUCAUUUUGUUUCAUUUACAGUGGUGCCUCAGUUUAUGAACUUAAUCCAUUCUGGAAGUCCGUUCUUAAACCAAAACGGUUCUUAAACCGAGGCGCGCUUUCCCUAAUGAGGCCCCCUGCCGCUGGUGCCCUUCCACCAUUCGGAUUCCGUUCUUAGACCAAGGUAAAGUUUGCAAACCGGGACACUACUUCCGGUUUUGUGGAAUUCGUAAACCGAGUAGUUCAUAAACAGGGCUGUUCUUAAACCGAGGUACCACUGUAUUUAGUUUAUAUCCCUUCCUCCUAAAGGAGCCCAGGGAAGCAACUACAUCAGUGCAUUCUUUUUUGGGGGGGAGGGGGAAUUAAGACAUUUCAGAAUCAUGUAUCACAGCCCCUAACUUCAAAAUGUUUUAAUGAUGUUAUAGGGUAACAUUCUCUCCCAGGAACAAGAUUUUAUGAACUUUUCUUGGCAGACAAGCCAUCCUUUGUGCUCAUUUAUUUGAGGUAGUUGAGUGGGUAUGAAAUUUUAUAUUGCAGGACUUCAGGCAAACUUUUAAAAUGUCUAGUAGGUAAGAAUAUGAAACUCCAGUUAUCAAAAGAAGGUAAUUAAAUUUCUAGUGAUGGUUCGGUGAACUCUGUGUGCUUUGUCACAUCUGUGAAGGCUCCUCACUCCCUGGGUUAAAAAGUGGUUGCUAUGGUGUAACUAGCAGUUAUGACAUCAUAAAGCAAGCUGAUGUUAGCCUUUGAGUGGGUGGAUUAGAUAAUGAUUUGACUUGGUCUACCAGCUCAUACCAGGGACAAGCAGCUAUUUAAAUGCAGGAGUUUCACAGUGAAACCCAGUAAUUUGCCCAUUGCACCUUGCUGGUCCAUAAAAUUUGUAUGCCAGCAAAGAAUUGUCAACAUUUAUAUCCAUUCAGUCAGACUUCAGCCUUAUUCCUAACACCUGGGUGAGUAAUGACCUAAUAAAUCUUCAGCUAUACUUUAUUCAUUAAUGAUCAAUAACUGUCAUCCCUCCCUGUGUUUUAAAGACAAAAGUCUAGUGUUACUUCUAUAAACCUUUUGGCCUUUGGUGAAUAUCCAUCAGCAAUGUUUAAAAGUUAUAUAGCACUUUUUGAGUGUUCAGAAGCUUUUCACAUGCAUUUGGCUCAAUAACAGCAGUAUCAUAGUCUUAUUGCAGAUCUGAAGUUGAGAGAUGGUGGCUUGCCCAUAGCCACCUGAUGAUUUUGUGCCUGAGGCAAGUCAGGAUUCUGAACUGGAGGCUGUCGAAUUCACACUUCAGACACGCUGGAAUCUCAACUACAUAAUGCAUGACUGGUGGUCAUGCAACCUUUGUUUAAAAGCCUACAAGGAAGGAGAUUCCACUACCUUUCAUGGGAAUUUGUUCCACUGCCAGAAAGUUCUUCCUGAGGUUUAGUCAGAAUCUUCUUUCUUGUAACUUGAAGCCAUUGGUUCAGGUCCUAGCCUCUGGAGCAGGAGAAAACAAGCUUGCUGACAACCCUUUAAAUAUUUGAAGAUGGCUGUUGUAUCUCCUCUCAGUCUCCUCCUUACCAGGCUAAAUAUACUCAAUCCCCUCAACUGUUCCCCAUAAGGCUUGGUUUCCACACCCUUUAUCAUCUUGGCUGCCCUCCUCUGCACAUGCUCCACCUUGUCAACAUCCUUCUUAAAGUGUGGCACCCAGUACUCCAGGUGUGGUCUGUCCAAGGUUGAAUAGAGCAGGAUUAUUAAAUGCCUGGAGAACAAUAAAUUCCUCUUCACUGGGCAUGGAAGACUGGACACUGAAAGAAGCAACUCCCAGCUGAUCUGAGAGCAAGUUCAUAGAUGGUGUCUUUGCCGGCCUCCUUCUCCUAACGCUCACACAAGGCAGUCGAUGUCCCAUUGCAUUAAUAAGCACACCAUAGCAAAUAUGACUUCCAAGGGGUAGAAUACUAUGGCUGUGCCCUGAUUGGCUGAUUCAAAUACCAAGGUUCCUGUUUGGAGCAGUGGCAGUUGGCUGAAGGGAGUCGGUUGGUGAGGUGUGGCAAGAGGGAAAGUGGAACACCAAUGGUGUGCUGGUCCCGAGGGUUAACCAUGCGGCAAGGUCCGAGUCCAGUCCAAGGUUGAGGGUGCGAUAUGGAGGCUGUCCAUCAAAGCUGAAGCUGGGUCUAAGGCAGGGAGUCGGGUGAGGUCAGAAACUCUGGCAGAAGAGCAGGACUCCCACAACCUGGGACUGGGCUGGCUGGCUUUUAUCUGCCCCGAAGCAUAGGGCGGCCCCAGUCCACAGGUGACUCGCCUCUCCUGGCCUGGAGACGAGCACUCCUACUGCGAUAACUUAGUUCCCUCCCCCUCUCUGUCCUGAGCCUCUGCAGCUCAGGAGAGGCUGGAGGGUUACCGGACCCAGAGGCAACCUCAGCUUUCCCUGACGGGGCUGAGAGUGGAGCACCUGCAGGCAAUGGGUCCUCCUUCACCUCAGGAGCCAGAGCAGACUCAGCUGGUGCCUGCACCUGAGGAUCCAGCACAGGUGAGGACCCUUCAGGUUCAAGCCCCAGCCCUGGCUCAGCUGGUUCUGGAGGCGGGGACUCCUGUACAGGCUGGGAUUCCUCAGGUUCAGCCUCCAAGUCCGAAUCCCAGGCCAUCACAAAUGGACUAUCUGUGAGGAAACUAUAACAGUUUAACUGCAUUGGUCAGUAGCAGUCUCUUUUUCCUAUCUUCUUCACCCUGUGGACAUGGGCUUCAAAUCUUCAACAGCAAAGGCCACAACCCAGAAAGCUACAUCAGGCAGACACAGCCCACUGAUGAAGCAAAGUGAAGCGCCUCAAGCAGCAGAAGCCCAAGAGGAGGCAUCCAUCACCCACCCCAUUGCCUCUGCCAGCAGCGGAGAAGCACCAUCACCAGCCGGGGCGGAGGAAGGGGGUGUGGUGGGGAUGGAUCGCCCCGGGUGUCUUCGCUGAGGGGGUGACAUUUGGCACGCCGCCCGCCCGCGACACCCAAGCCUACCCCAAGCCAUCAGGGGAAGGGGGAGCUGUGCUGUUUUGCCGGCAGCAUCCCCACCUUCCCCCUUCAUUUUGACAGCUUGGGGGAGGCUUGGGAGUCGCAGAUGGGCGGCACACCAAAUGUCCGCCAUUGGCAGCUCGCUCCGCCCCUGUGGGCAGCUAACUCCGCCCCUGGCUACAGGGCACACGUGCACCUGAGCAGCUAUCCCACGCCUGGGAGCCCCUUCAGGAGCACCCACUGCCCCCCUUGGGAGCGUGCCCACCCUGGGCAGUGCAGGCAUAUGCUUCACCGCUGUCACCAGCAGUAGUGGAUUACAGCAAGCUCUUACCAAAAUCUUGCAAGAUUUCAACAGAAGUGGGAACCACUGCCAGUGCAAAGCAGGUAGGAGGGGUACAAAGAAGUAGCAGCAAAGGGGGGGGCGGGGGGGUCACAUUCCCGUUUUGCCUUAAGAGGUACAAUGAGACAUGCUGUCCCUUACUUCAGGUGUGCUUAUAGGCCCUGCAUGUGUCAAAUGGGACCCCCCCACCUCUUUGAACAGGGUGGCUUCUAGGCUUUUGAAAGAGUCUCAGAAAGUGGUUUUCUGUGCCUUUUCCCACAGAGCAUCCAUUCAAAUGGGCAGUUUACCCUGUGAAAGCUGAGGUGGUACAGUCAGUGCCACAAGGGGGCUCUACCACACUGAAUUGGCUCGUGACCCGGAGGUGAGCUCAAGAAGACGUCAUACCCAUAUACCAUACCUUUAGAGCUCUCUUAGGCCAUGGCUUCCCUCAAAGAAUCCUGGGAGAUGUAGUUUGUUAAGGAUGCUGAGAGUUAUGGGACUUCCGGGUUGGCGUCUCUGGCAAUGGCGGAUUUCCUCCGAUCGGGAGGAAUCCGCUCCAUGGAAAAAAGGGUCUGAACCGCCACGGCGAGGCGGAGACCCAUUAAAAACCACAGGUGGGAGAAGCCUGUGGACGUGGGAUUCGGCUGGCACCUUUGCGCCCCCCUACUCGCGGGGAGACCCGGUUUCGGGGAUCUGGAGCGACAUGGGGUGAGCGGCGCGGUGCCUUGAAUCGACUGCUUCUUUCACGGAGUGAAGCCGCAUGGCUGUUGCCGGAGAGCGCUGACUUUUUCCUGUGGACAAUUGGACUCUAAACAACGACCCGUGAGUAGAACGGAAAAUUGGAUUAAGAAAUUUCUUCUAAUUUGGCACUGAAGCGGGAAGGUCUAAACAGGAAGUCAGCCUUCCGCUUUUUGUAGAUAGAUUAAAGCAAAGACACGGCAAGCUAGAGUUAAGAAAAUCGUCUGUAAAGGAUCAAUUCUCAUCAUAUAAAAUUACUGAACCCCCCUUGGAAGCAGGAGAAGAGGGGGGAUUUUUUUUUUUCCUGGACUGUUUAAACCUGCAGAAGAGAGUGUAAAGAAAAGUAAUUUUCCACCGUCUUGAACCUGGGAGUGGGGUGUCAGGACAGACGUCCUUGGGAAGUUCAUUGACUAUAGACAAACGUUUUUGACAGACAGUUAAAAGAACAUAGUGACUCCAUUGUUCCCCUUCGCAUCUAAAAGGAACAAAAUAUUGACAGAAUAUCUGAAAAAGGAAACUUUGUUGUUAGAUCUGCUAUAAAAAAAUAAAAAAAAGAGAUGGAUACAAAUAGAAGCUUUUCCCCUAGAGGGAGCUUGUGAAACUGUUAUUAAAUCUGAACUGGGGAGCUUUGCAGCUGCAAUAGAUUAAGAUCGUGGGAUCAGGCUUUGACCUUGCACAAGAAUGUACUCGGAGGCUCUGGUGCGUGCUUUCUGCAAGACAAGUGCUUUAUUGGAACAGUUACAUGAGAAGAAGGAUUUGAUGACUGCUGCGAUUGGAAAUUUUGGACAGGUAGUGGGUAUCUAUAUAGAACCCACUCAGGAAUUAAUCCAGGAGAGUGCUCUGACAGAUCAGAUGAAGGAGGCGGUUGUGGCUGGACCUCGGGAGGCAGAGAUGGAGGGAACUGUGGCCCAGCAGGAACAUGAGUUGUUGGAUCUGACGAAUGAACCUGGAAAAAGCCAGAUUUGGAGAGAUAGAGUUUUGCUUGGCUUGGAGAUGGGGGGCUGGAUAGACCCCCCUAUGCAGGGAUGUUUUGACUUUUCAAGUCUGGCUUUGGGCCGGGAGGAGUUUGGAGUUGUGGGGGUCCUCAACUUUGGAGGGACUUUGAAACAUGCUAUUAAAUACCACAUGGAGUUCAGUGUUGAUUAUGGAAAAGGGGCUGAUCUGUCGAGAAGGGACAAAAAUAUUGUCAAGCUGGAGUCUCCACGAGUGAAAGGAGCAGAAGACAAAGUAAAGUACAGGUAUAAAUAUGAAGAAGAUCUGCGGAAGGGACAUGGAAGAGACUUAAGGGCCUCGGACAUAAGGUUACCAGGUUAAUGAACUAGAUGGAUGGGAUAGAAAGGACUGACAAAACCCGAGACCAGGAGGAAGAGACGUUGGAUGAAGAUUGGAAGAAAGUUUUAAAAAUUUUACUUAGGAAUGUUUUCUAAAAUUAAUGAGUAUUAGAAAAAUGUUGGAAUGAAAUUAUUUGGCUUUAACAAAAAUGUUAAAAAGAAUUAUGUAAGAAUAUGCUAUGGUUAUGAGAAAUUGGUAUAAAUAAGAUUUAAGUUUUAAGUUUUAGGGUUUUUUAUGGUAAGAUAAGGUUAAAAUAGAUUAAGGUAAUUUAAUGACAGAAUAUUAUGAAAAAUGGAAAGGAUUUGCUGUGAUAAUUAACAACUAGAAUACAAAAAAAGGAGGUGUGAGGAGGUCGAUGAAAUAAGGUAAUGACAGUUAAGGAUUCAGGAAUACUGGAC